UACGAGGGGGGCGGAGCGUUGUUCGGAAUUAUUGGGCGUAAAGGGUGCGUAGGCGGUUUGGUAAGUCUUGUGUGAAAUCCUCCAGGCUCAACUUGGAGUCUGCACGAGAAACUGGCCGGGCUUGAGUGUGGGAGAGGUGAGUGGAAUUCCUGGUGUAGCGGUGAAAUGCGUAGAUAUCAGGAGGAACACCUGUGGCGAAAGCGGCUCACUGGACCACAACUGACGCUGAUGCACGAAAGCUAGGGGAGCAAACAGG
rnacentral:rRNA from 1 species